AGAAGAAAGGACGACUCAUGACACACCGACUUAUUUUCCAGUGGCUCAGCACAACAUGACGCAGUAUCAUCUCCAUCUCUGCUGAAGGACACGUGUCAGUUCCAUGAAGCUGUUUGAUUCUUACAGACAGCUGAGUCAGCGCCAAGACGACUGCGUGCAGAAGAAAAGCUCAGGCAGCAGCUUGUUUCUCUGCAGUUUGAACAUCUCCUGCCGACCUGUCACACUUCCUAAAACAUCAGCCUGAGCAGAGCGGCGCCUAUGAGUCACCUGUGAGGAAUUGGAACCUUGGAGCUAAAGAAAGUUUGACAGAAGCAAUUUCA